AAUGUGGUGAGGAAAAGGAUGAAUUAUUGACCUAUGCCUGACCUAUGAGCUCCUGGCCCAGGCUAAAGUGCAAGGGAAAGGAAAGGCUGAUACAGAGAUCAAAGUCCAAGGGAAAGGAAAGGCUGGUACAGAGCUCAGAGAAGCGCAUGGCUGACCAAAGCUGGAGGGCAUUUAAAAUGAUAUAUGGCAUUUAGAAGUGGUAUCUGAGUUGGAUUUUGAAUGAUGUGGGGGAUCUUACAUCCAGAAAUGGGGGAAAGAGGUCCAAGCAGAAGUAACACAAGAUGUGCUUGAAAUUGGUGACUGCCUGGACCAAUGGGAACAUUUAAUAACUCUGAACAUGAAACAGAGAAAAAUAAAGGAAGGACAUACUAAAGCCAAGGAGGUGGAUUAAGGUUGCCAGGUACCCCCAAAUGCCAGAUUCUGGAGUUUGCUCACUUCCCCAUGUCCCACGGCAGAGCAGCUGCAUGGUCACUGCAGUGAUAGUAAAACCAACAGAGUCUGCACAGAGGAGCUGAUUUUCAGCUCUGCUGGGAGGAGCCCUUUUAUCUCUGCUGCUUCUCUGCCAUCAAAGCCCACUCAGCCUUGAGUAGCUGCCCGCCCCCUUGCUGGUCCCAUCCUCCCAGAAUCCUGCCUGGAGGUUUUAAUUCAGAGUCUCAGAAGACAAGCAAGGGGGCUGCUUUUGAUUGAUCCGUCAAACACAAUCCCUUCAUGACUGUCUUUGGAGACUCAGGCUCCAGACAUGAAAGAUAAAAACAGGAGAUGCCAGCUUGGUUUGAGAUGGAAGAGUGUGCUGGAUCUUUCUGUUCUUCCUUUAACUCAGAAAAAAAUAAUAUACAACAUAAAAUGAAAGCUUCCUCUCUCA